UCGGGUGUAAUGAGAGUGGCAGACGGGUGAGUAACGCGUAGAUAUCUACCUCGUAGUGAGGAAUAGCUCAUCGACAGGUGGGGUAAUACCACAUAGUCCCUCAGGGGUAAAGGCUUCGGCCGCUAUGAGAGGAGUCUGCGUCCUAUCAGGUUGUUGGUGGGGUAAUAGCCUACCAAGCCUAUGACGGGUAGCCGGUGUGAGAGCACGACCGGCCACAAGGUCACUGAGACACGGGACCUACAUC
rnacentral:rRNA from 1 species